GGAAAAUAUAGCCAUAUCCCACUGUAAAAGUGAGGACACUAAGGAUAAGGCUGAGCCUUUGACGUCUCUCUGGCACAGUUUGUUUGUGAAUAGGCUGCUGAGUGUCCUUGAGAGUGAAGAUUGGAUUCCUCAACCUCAGUUAAACAGGAAUUUCAUCACCCAAAACUACCAAGAGACUCAAGAACAAGAAGAAGGUCAUAAAUCUGAGGCACAGCCAGCUUAAGAAAUCUGCCCAAAGCCACACAGAGAGCAGCAGAGUUGGGAAAUCAGCCCAGGCAGCCAGACCCCAUAAAUACUACUCCUCAAUAUGAAAAUGCACUGCCAACAGCACGAACUAUAAAAUUGUACUAAUAUUAAUGACUGCUAGUGUUUAUGAAGAAUGCUGUACAGCUCAGGUACUGAUUGGUGGAAAAUCUAAGAAAAUGUGUGUAUUAAGAUUGAUGAAACUCAAAAGUGAAGUUUGAAAUGGUUAUAAAAUUAGCACUAAUUACUGAACUGAUUCUUGGUGGAGUUAUAGUUAGCUUGGAUCCAGCAAACUGAGACUCUCUAUUGAGAAGAAAAGAAUGGGUGCAAAGGAGGUGAGAAGAAGAAAUGCAUAUCAUGGUGAAUUAUUAAUAGGAUGGUGGCUUGUGAAGGAGCAGUCUAAGCCAGGAGGAAGGACUUUCAUCCUAUAGUGAUGACUACUUGAUGGAGCAUCUUCACAUUCAAAUCCCAUUCAUAUUUGCAGAUAGUAGGGAGUUAUAGAGAAGGUAAUAAGACUAGAGGCAAGGGAUGCAAGAGAUUGAAAUAGCCUUAUUUUUUCUGAACUUCAAUAAAAGAGCAAUCUUCUCUCACUCUGUGUCUACUACAUGUGGGGGGCUCACAGGGGAUUAACAUAGAUGAAUUCUCUGAGAUUUCAGUCUAAUGGGUAUUCAGAAAACUUAACAGAAAUAUAAACUCUGGGUGGAAAGCUGUGCUUGUGAAGUCAGAGGACAGGAAUCUGACCUGGAAUGGGAGGCAUAAGGAAGUUCUCUUGGAGGAGCAUACCUGAGAUUGUGCUAAAGUAUGAGGAGCAGUGAGUGAGGUAAACUGAGGAGGGGAGAGACGAGGAAAAAAAUAUGUGCUAGGCAUGUGAAGAGGCCAAUGCAUUUGAAGGCACACUGAGAACAGUAAUUUGUGAGGACGUCAGGAAUAUGAAGGGCAUAGUUUGGAGGGACUGGGCAGGUGAGAGAGGGAAUGUCAGGAAGUGAUGGAGGGGCAGCCCACAGAAGAAUGCCUGUGAUGGUAUGGAAUUUUGAAUGUCUGGUUCCUUGAAAGGUUACAACCCGCCCCGCGCCCCCGCCCCCGCACAUGAGGUCUGCCUAUGAGGAAGACAGUCAGAAUAAGUGAGGAUGGUCCCUGCCCACUAAGGAGGUCCCUGGAAUUACCAGGAGGGUUUCUGGGCCUGGGGAGGAGCAAGGGUAGAUCGGGCAGAGAGGGCUCCCAGGUAUGUGGAAGGGCAGGGACCUUGAGUGCUCCUCUUUGCCUCCCUAGCUCCAGCCCUCAUGCCCUGCAACCUCAUCGGAGUGCAGACUUCCUUCCUCUCAGUCAUUUUUGCACUUGUAGGUGGGAUGGAUGCAUUGAUCAUAAAACUCACAAGGCUAGCUAACAUCGCCAUCUGGUGUCCAUAAGUGGCAGGCCAAGAGCAGCUUUAACAGGAAACUGUGGAUAAGCCUCAUCCACAGCUAUGCACAGAAGGGACCCUGCUGGAGCUAGACAGGUCAGGUGGGAAGUGGGCGCGGAGGUGCUGGGAUCUGGUGGUGGGCAGGCCUUUUACAGGCCUUCCUUCACUGGUGCAUGUAUCCGUCUGUGUAUCUGCUAUCUUAGAGGCUCUCUGAUUUCCCAACACGAACCUCCUGAUUUUCUCCAUUGUCUCACAGUGGAAUGCUUUCCUGCUGCAUUCUCUUCAUCAGUUGUUUCACAGGAUGAUGUCGCAAGAGUAAACCAAGUCUAAUAUUGGUGGAUUAUUAGUACUUUAAGUAUGAAGGAUAAACUAAAUAGCAUUUACUUCACCAUACAUGACGCAUGGACCAACUCCUCAUUCCCACUUUUUGUAAUUUUUCAUUACUCUUACUCUAGUGAGCCACCACUCACCCGCUCCCUACUCCCUCAUUCUCCCUUUAAAACAUCCAGUCAC
rnacentral:lncRNA from 1 species